rnacentral:rRNA from 1 species
GAAUCUUGCGCAAUGGGCGAAAGCCUGACGCAGCGACGCCGCGUGAGGGAUGAAGCUUCUCGGAGUGUAAACCUCUUUCGACCCGGACGAAUGCCCGCAAGGGCUUGACGGUACGGGGAGAAGAAGCCCCGGCUACCUACGUGCCCGCCGCCGCGGUAAAACGUAGGGGGCCAGCGUUGCUCGGAAUUACUGGGCGUAAAGGGUCUGUAGGCGGUGCGGUAAGUCCGGAGUGAAAUCUCCAGGCUCAACUUGGAGGCUGCUUUGGAAACUGCCGUGCUCGAGUGCGGGAGAGGCGCGUGGAAUUGCAGGUGUAGCGGUGAAAUGCGUAGAUAUCUGCAGGAACACCAGUGGCGAAAGCGGCGCGCUGGACCGCAACUGACGCUGAGACACGAAAGCGUGGGUAGCAAACAGG